rnacentral:rRNA from 1 species
UACAGAGGGUGCGAGCGUUACUCGGAAUUACUGGGCGUAAAGCGCGCGUAGGCGGCUUUGCAAGUCGGGUGUGAAAUCCCCAGGCUCAACCUGGGAACUGCAUUCGAGACUGCAUUGCUAGAGUAUGGGAGAGGGAAGUGGAAUUUCCGGUGUAGCGGUGAAAUGCGUAGAUAUCGGAAGGAACAUCAGUGGCGAAAGCGACUUCCUGGACCAAUACUGACGCUCAUGUGCGAAAGCGUGGGGAGCAAACAGG